AAUGACUUCAGAGGAAAUGACAACAAUUUACAAAGUCCUGUCUGACGACAAGCUCUGAUUGGCUAGACGCUAGACCUACCUUAAAAACCUAAAGAGUGGAGACAAAGGAAUGUGCAGGGUUUUGAUUUAGAAGUACCUGAUACAGUUUGGUUACCUACCAUCCAUAAGUAGAUCAUCUUCUAACAUCUUGGCAGAGGCAAUAGUUGACUACAGAGAAGCCAUAAAAACAUUCCAGAGAUAUGCUUAUCUCUCACAAUCUGGUGAAAUAGAUUCUGCCACAAUAGCAAUGAUGAACAAGCCCAGAUGUGGUUUACCAGACAGAGCUUCACAGAGUCAACGACAAAAGAGAUAUGCAACUCAAGGUUUGGGCUGAUGUCACAAAUCUAAGUUUCCAACAAGUCUAUACAAACAAUGCAAAUCUCAACAUUAAGUUUGUGUCAUUUGAUCAUGGUGAUGGAUUUCCUUUUGAUGGACGAGGAAAAGUACUUGCCCAUGCUGCACUUCCUCAAAAUGGACUUAUCCAUUUUGAUGAGAGUGAAAAAUGGACUGCAAACUCCAAGAAAGGUAUAAACCUUUACUGGGUGGCAGUUCAUGAAUUUGGACACUCCUUGGGAAUGCAGCAUAGCACUGUAAGGGAUGCUGUGAUGUAUGCUUAUUACGGAGGAUAUCAGCCUAACUUGCAGUUACACACAGAUGACAUCCAAGGCAUUCAAAGUAUAUAUGGUCAUUCAAGUAGAACAACUAACGGUACAAGUACAUGGGGAAGAUGGGGUACAUGUUCAAAGACAUGUGGUGGGGGAGUUCAAAGAAGAUCACGCUCAAUAUCUGGUGUCACUACAAGUCAAACA
rnacentral:misc_RNA from 1 species